GCAUUUGUGCGUCUCCAGGCAUUCAGGGCUUAACUCUGGAUAGGAAGCUCCCUCUAGACUGAACACGGGAACAGGAUGGCGCUCAGGCGGAGCGGACACUUGAAGGCACUUACGAGGAGCUGGCACCGGAGGGCGCUUUCUAGGAGUGGGCACUGGAGGGCACUUUGGACUGGAUUUGGGGACUGGAGCCCUCUCCUCUUCGCUUUGGCACUUUCGCCGCUCCAUACUCCACUCACCCUCAGCGGCGGUGCAGGGGGCGGAGCUCCUCUCCACGCUCACACUGUCCGAGGCUUUCUCCCUCGUGGCGGACAUUAUUGCCGGCUCUCGCACCUGGUCUGAUGGCUUGGGCUCUACUUCCGGGGCAAUCCUCCGCUCAGUCACUCGGCAUUGCACUGGCUCGUAGAUCGCGGCGGGAAUUGGCUCUCCGUCAUCGGUGGGCUCUGGCUUUAACUCCGCACAGCGGGGAGAUGGUGGGCUGGGCACCGGGUCCGGAGUGGAUCUGACGAGAUCAUCCUAAUGUUUAUUAUAUAUCCGUGUAUAUGCUCUUUCUUAGUCGCUGUUAGAACCCUAAUACUACCUCUAUCAUUUAACCUAAACUAAUGGCAUCUCUAACACAAUGCGGUGGUUUAGAAUCCCUGUAAUCCGCCAUCAAGCAGCCCAUUGGGCAUUCACUUUACAUAUCCUAUCAAGACUUCACAUUAAUCAGCCUAUCGCGGCCUUUGCUCAAUUUGGCCUAUUGUUACCAUAAGUUUCAGUGGCUCUCAGUCAUACCGGUGACAUUACCUGAGCAGUCGAAGGCUGCGCAUUUAUUGCAUGGACGGAGCAAAAAUGAUCUUCUAAGAAAUACUUCGUCUGAUACUGCCGCUGUCGUUUCCCUCCAUCCUCCCCACCACCACCAGGUUGGCCCCGUCCAUGCGGGGGUAGGCUCUGCCCUGCCUUCGUCUUUGGCAGGAAUAGCUGGAAUCUCCGACUUCAGAUAUAAGCUACGGAUGGGGCCUAUGCCAAAUAAUUCUGUUUUUUUUGUAUCAGCUUUGUAAAUUAUUUUGAGUUUUAUCUUCCCCUCCCAAGUCUUUCUGGUAGAACUGUCUCUUUUAAUGUGUUUCGUAUUGUUUUAGUGUUUUGCUAAUGGACCGUGAGUCUAGAAAUAAAGUUGAAUGAAUAUUUGUGUGCGUAUUCACUGCUGUCUCUAUGCAAAUUGGAUGGGUUGAAUUCAGAGGAAAAUUACAAGUAUGGGUUAUCUUACUUGGCUUA